rnacentral:rRNA from 1 species
UGUACACACCGCCCGUCACACCACGAGAGUUUGUAACACCCGAAGCCGGUGGAGUAACCUUUUAGGAGCUAGCCGUCGAAGGUGGGACAAAUGAUUGGGGUGAAGUCGUAACAAGGUAGCCGUAUCGGAAGGUGCGGCUGGAUCACCUCCUUUCUAAGGA